CGUCGCCACGGUAAUACGUAGGUGGCAAGCGUUGUCCGGAUUUAUUGGGCGUAAAGCGAGCGCAGGCGGUUUCUUAAGUCUGAUGUGAAAGCCCCCGGCUCAACCGGGGAGGGUCAUUGGAAACUGGGAGACUUGAGUGCAGAAGAGGAGAGUGGAAUUCCAUGUGUAGCGGUGAAAUGCGUAGAUAUAUGGAGGAACACCAGUGGCGAAGGCGGCUCUCUGGUCCGUAACUGACGCUGAGGCUCGAAAGCGUGGGGAGCAAACAGGAUUAGAUACCCCAGUAGUCCCUGUCUCUUAUACC
rnacentral:rRNA from 1 species